GCUAUCUACAGGCUUAACACAUGCAAGUCGAGGGGCAGCAUCAUCAAAGCUUGCUUUGAUGGAUGGCGACCGGCGCACGGGUGAGUAACACGUAUCCAACCUGCCGACAACACUGGGAUAGCCUUUCGAAAGAAAGAUUAAUACCGGAUGGCAUAGUUUUCCCCGCAUGGGAUGACUAUUAAAGAAUUUCGGUUGUCGAUGGGGAUGCGUUCCAUUAGGCAGUUGGCGGGGUAACGGCCCACCAAACCGACGAUGGAUAGGGGUUCUGAGAGGAAGGUCCCCCACAUUGGAACUGAGACACGGUCCAAACUCCUACGGGAGGCAGCAGUGAGGAAUAUUGGUCAAUGGACGAGAGUCUGAACCAGCCAAGUAGCGUGAAGGAUGACUGCCCUAUGGGUUGUAAACUUCUUUUAUACGGGAAUAAAGUUAGCCACGUGUGGCUUUUUGUAUGUACCGUAUGAAUAAGGAUCGGCUAACUCCGUGCCAGCAGCCGCGGUAAUACGGAGGAUCCGAGCGUUAUCCGGAUUUAUUGGGUUUAAAGGGAGCGUAGGCGGGUUGUUAAGUCAGUUGUGAAAGUUUGCGGCUCAACCGUAAAAUUGCAGUUGAUACUGGCGACCUUGAGUGCAACAGAGGUAGGCGGAAUUCGUGGUGUAGCGGUGAAAUGCUUAGAUAUCACGAAGAACUCCGAUUGCGAAGGCAGCUUACUGGAUUGUAACUGACGCUGAUGCUCGAAAGUGUGGGUAUCAAACAAGAUUAGAUACCCUGGUAGUCCACACAGUAAACGAUGAAUACUCGCUGUUGGCGAUAUACAGUCAGCGGCCAAGCGAAAGCAUUAAGUAUUCCACCUGGGGAGUACGCCGGCAACGGUGAAACUCAAAGGAAUUGACGGGGGCCCGCACAAGCGGAGGAACAUGUGGUUUAAUUCGAUGAUACGCGAGGAACCUUACCCGGGCUUAAAUUGCAACUGACUGAACCGGAAACGGUUCUUUCUUCGGACAGUUGUGAAGGUGCUGCAUGGUUGUCGUCAGCUCGUGCCGUGAGGUGUCGGCUUAAGUGCCAUAACGAGCGCAACCCUUAUCGAUAGUUACUAGCAGGUCAUGCUGAGGACUCUAUUGAGACUGCCGUCGUAAGAUGUGAGGAAGGUGGGGAUGACGUCAAAUCAGCACGGCCCUUACGUCCGGGGCUACACACGUGUUACAAUGGGGGGUACAGAAGGCAGCUACACGGCGACGUGGUGCUAAUCCCGAAAGCCUCUCUCAGUUCGGAUUGGAGUCUGCAACCCGACUCCAUGAAGCUGGAUUCGCUAGUAAUCGCGCAUCAGCCACGGCGCGGUGAAUACGUUCCCGGGCCUUGUACACACCGCCCGUCAAGCCAUGAAAGCCGGGGGUACCUGAAGUACGUAACCGCAAGGAGCGUCCUAGGGUAAAACUGGUGAUUGGGGC
rnacentral:rRNA from 1 species